rnacentral:sRNA from 1 species
GGACCACUCCGAUACGGAGUCGAGGCCAUACGGACAGCCGGGUCCACUGCCGA